rnacentral:SRP_RNA from 10 species
GCUGGGGGCACUGCUGUGCACCUGUAGUCCCAGCUACUUGGGAGGCUGCAGCAGUAGGAUGGCUUGAGGCCAGGAUUUCUGUGCUGUAGGGCACUAUGCUGAUGGGGUGUCCACACUAAAUUCAGCACUAAUAUGGUGAACCCCAAGGAGCAGAGGACCACUAGGUUGCCUCAGAAAGGCUGAACCAGCCCAGGUCAGAAACAGAGCAGGUCAAACUUCAGGUGCUGAUCAGUAGUGAGACUGUGCCUAUGAAUAGCUACUGCACUCCAGCCUAGACAACAAGAGCUUCUCU